CAGCAGCCGCGGGAAUACGUAGGGUGCGAGCGUUAAUCGGAAUUAUUGGGCGUAAAGCGAGUGUAGACGGUUAUUUAAGCCAGAUGUGAAAUACCCGAGCCUAACUUGGGAGGUGCAUAUGGAACUGGGUAGCUAGAGUGUGUCAGAGGGAGGUAGAACUCCACGUGUAGCAGCGAAAUGCGUAGAGAUGUGGAAGAAUACCGAUGGCGAAGGCAGCCUCCUGGGAUAACACUGACGUUGAGGCUCGAAAGCGUGGGGAGCAAACAGGAUUAGAUACCCGGGUAGUCCCUGUCUCUUAUAC
rnacentral:rRNA from 1 species